UACAGAGGUCCCAAGCGUUGUUCGGAUUCACUGGGCGUAAAGGGUGCGCAGGUGGGUUGGCAAGUUUGAUGUGAAAGCCCCGGGCUUAACCCGGGAAUGGCAUUGAAUACUGCUGAUCUGGAGGAUUGGAGGGGGGACUGGAAUUCAUGGUGUAGCAGUGAAAUGCGUAGAGAUCAUGAGGAAGACCAGUGGCGAAGGCGGGUCUCUGGACAGUUCCUGACACUGAGGCACGAAGGCCAGGGGAGCAAACGGG
rnacentral:rRNA from 1 species